rnacentral:rRNA from 1 species
UACGGAGGAUGCGAGCGUUAUCCGGAUUUAUUGGGUUUAAAGGGUGCGUAGGCGGCUUUUUAAGUCAGCGGUGAAAUUUUGCAGCUUAACUGUAACAGUGCCGUUGAUACUGGGGAGCUAGGAUUUGGUUGCUGUGGGUGGAAUGUGUGGUGUAGCGGUGAAAUGCUUAGAGAUCAAACAGAAUAUCGAUUGCGAAGGCGGCUCACAAAGCCAAGAUUGACGCUGAGGCACGAAAGUGUGGGGAUCAAACAGGAUUAGAUA